UAUAUAGAUUCAUUACAAAGGUCGAACACUGUCAGUGUCGAUCACCUAGCGUGGCUACUGCUCUCUCUAACUAUAAAGAUGUGUUCUCUGUGCGUGCUGACAAGGUGCCGCAGCUACUAUCGAGGUCUCUGGUGCAGCAGCCAGUGUGUUGUGUGUGGGCGCUUCCUCUCUGAAUGUUUAACACUAAAUUUUCUCUGAAUUUUUUCUGUAUCAUGUACACUGCAGGGUACCAAGUAGAGACAAACAACAAUGUACAAGUAGAGACAACCGCCGCGCUGUGGUAUGUGGCCUUCUAUCAAGUUCUAAUUUAGUUCAGAUUUUUCCCUAGGUCUUGGAGACAUGAUUUUUGUUACUGUAUUAACUUGUUGACAUGUUGUGUUUAGUGUUUUCUCCCCAUGUAUUUCCCAGGUAUUUUUAUUUUUCUGUCCUUAUUGUCUCCUGCAGCCCGGCGAACAUGUAUUCCAGAAAUAAGUUUACUCUGAACCUAAGAAGAAAAUUACAUUGUUACAUUGUGGUGGUCGUACAGUAAGAAUACAGAGGUCUAAGUAGCUUCAUAACAAUCGUGCCGCUGCAUGGCGCACAAUUGAGCUUGAUAGGGCAACCAUGGCGGCCGUUGGUAGUUGGGACUUUAACCGCGAUCUCCACUGCCACUCCUAUGAUUUCUCCGUUAUUUUCAUUCCAUAGCUCAACUGCUACUUAAGUACACAUAUUUAGUUGAUUUAGUUCAGAGUUGCGCAUUUUCACCAGGGUGUGAUUUUCAUCUAAUUUGUUUGUGCCCCAUGGAUCGUGGUGGUUAAAUCUAUCAUCUCAUGCACUCAAAUCAAAGUAAUCCUAUACAUCCUAACCAUUAUCUCAGUAUCUCUUAACAAAACCAUUUGCCACUUCUAUAGAUUUAUUAGAGGCCAUAGCUCUUAGUUAUUUUGCAUGCCAUUUGGAGUUCACUUGGCAAGCAAGUGUUGUCCACUAUUGUCGGUGCCUUGAUAAAUAUUUAGUUUCAUAUGUAAACUUGUUGAGACAUGAACAUUAGAAGCUUACACCAGCCAGGUCGAUGAGCAGUGGCUCUGUAUCAUGGAUAUUGUUUGUUAGUGAUGCCAUUUUUUGGCGGAUCUAUAUGGCCACAACUGAUGCUGCUAUAGUAAAUUGACUUCUGCAAUGCAUGUUUUAUCAGCAGGGUACUUUGUUAUUCUCAUUUGUAUGGCCUCAACUGCUGUUGCUAUUAUUGGUGUUUUAUACUAGAUGCCUUGUUAUUCUCAUUUGUACGCACAAUAAAAAUGAUUUUGGAUGCCUUCUUGCCUGUUUACUUUCCAACUGGAUCAGGCGUUCAUAUAAACAGGAUAGCUCCAACUCUUGUUUCAAGAGUGACGAGUACGCUGAAACUGCAUUCUAGUAAAUAGGGGUCACUUAUCAAAUCUGAGAAAUUUAAAACCAAUCCUCAUUGCUGACUGGUGGUUUAUAUAUAGCAAUGGUAUAUGAAAAUGAACUUGGCAAAAAUUCAGCUUUUACCUUCGAAAUAUAUGUACAGAAUUUCCAGAUCUAAUCUGAAAUGACAAUUAGCAAAUGCGGAGCAUUAUCUUGACCUUUAAAACCAAAAACCUACUAUAUGGACAAACACAACUUUCGGUAGAAAUGCUGAGCAUUAUUUUGUUGGUGGGUUUUCUCCCUAGGCAUUUCUUUUUCUAUCCUUGUCGCCUCGUGCCGCCCGGUGAAUAUGUAUUCCAGAAAUAAGUUUAAUCUGAAUCUAAGAAGAAAAUUCCACAUAGUUAUAUUGUGGCAGUCCUACAGUAAGAAUACAGAGGUUUAAACUUGUUUAUUUGUGUACUACGCACAUGUAUUAGUGAGUCAAUUUGUUGUUGUUUUAUACUAGAUACUUUGUUAUUCUCAUUUGUAGGCACAAUAAGAUUUAAGGAUUUUGGAAAGUAUGUAAUUUGUUUUUUAAGUUUCUUCUUCUACUAUAUGUUCAUAUCUACAAAUGUCUAAUGUUGUUGUGAAUUUGGUAGGUAUGUUGUUGUCCAUCACAAUCCGCCAUGACAUAUAGUUGCCAUCAGGAGGGUUGACAACAAGAACACGAGUGACAACCUUAGUAGUUUAUAUGUUUUGUUGAUGUAAAUUGGAUUGUACCGGUUCCUAAUCCUUGCUAUGUGAUAUAUUUUGUCAAUAUAUAUUGUAUAUUAUCAUUUCAUGGAGGAUAUUAUAAACUGCUAGGUUGUAGAUAUGUAUGGAUGGUUGCAUAUUGAGUGAUUUUGUCAAUAUAUGUUAUAGAUACC